GCUUUUCUGAGCUUUUAGUUUUAAAAGCAACGCAAUCUGGAAGCAACAGCGUUUGUUCCAUCUUGCCAAACCUCAACUGUGAGUUCCCAGGACUGUUCCUCCAGAGGAAGGUGUCCAUAGGCAGGUGUUUCUUGCCAGGUGGUCUGGACCUUCGGCAGCUCUUAGCUGUGAGCAAGCUUCUUUGGCUUCUUUUGGUACAGACAUGCCACAGCGUUGCUAAGCUUGCAAGUACCACUUUCUGCUUCAAGGAAGUUACAAGUACCAAACACACCAGAGGACCUUGCCAGUUCCAUAAGCCAAAUCAGCUGCAGCAUAAGGAGGUCAGAAACAACUCAGGCACACCUAGGAAUACUCAUGGAGUACUCCAGCCUAAUCACUGUUGCUUAAGGUGUCUAAAGGUCUGCAAACAUUUGAACAAUGUGUGUGAGCCACAGGUGUGGCUUCAGCAGCUUAGAUGCCAAAAAGAAACCCAGUAGGCUAGAAUUCCUCACCUGCUUCUUCGUGUGCUUGGGGGCCAGGACCACUGUGAGAGUCACAGCUCUACUGCUCCCUGUCCCAAGCACCCUGCCCACCCUGGGAACAGCAUCUUCCAGCCUGUUUCUAACAUGACCACACACAGGCAUGGGAUGCUUGUAGAAUGUUUGUUUCAUAGAAAGACAGGGUAUAGCUGUUUUUGAGAACUGGGUGUUUUUUAAGUGCUGUUAAGAGACUGAAACUUGUGGUGCUCAGAAUCAUUGGCUGUUGUUGUGUAGGCACAAAUUUCUCCUUGGUUGGUUUGACUUCCCAGCUGGGCAUUCAAGCUGGGUAUUACAUCACUUUCUUAUGCUGUGAGUCAUAGCUUUGAGAGACCAUGGCUGCAUCUACUGAAAAUGGAAGCCUGAAACAUUUGCGGCAGAAUAGCAGAAACCAAAAUACUGUGAAGGGGCUAACGAUCACACACACAGACAGUAGCAGCAAAGGCACAGAGGUGGAGUUUCUUAGCUGCAGAGAUAAUACAGCCCAGGGCUCCUUCGGGAUCUGUCUCUGGGAAUCGGCACGAUCUGGGUGCAUCAUUUAGGGGGGAAAAGCAGGAAGCAAGCUGAAUCGAAAGCAGUGAUGCUAGAAUCCAUCACAGUAUUUUCUAGCUGGCUCUUUUGCUAUGGGAAAGCAAGGUUUACAGAUGCCGAUGCUAGCAUACUCUUAAUUCUGAGGUAUUUUCUAUAGCUAUUUCUGGGUACCUGCUGUCCUGUGGGCAAAGACAGUAGCAAGUACAUUUGCUUGAGACAAUGUUCUAGAGUUUCAGCAGGUGGAGGGCAAAUAGCAAAGCAUGGGCUGAACACAACGGCGUCCUGAUGUAGCAGAGAGAUGGGCCGUGUGGGGCUACCACACUCCAUUUAUUUAAAGAAUAAUUAACCAUUAAGCUUUGAACUCUUACUUAUGUGGCUAAUAUGCAGUAAGGAUGCUCAGGAACAGAGCCGAGCACUGAGCCAGCUCCACCACUCAGGCUGUGGCUGUCGGGCCGUGGCCGGCUGACCCAGGGAACAUGUUUUCAGUGGGCAUGUGAGCCAGCAGCUCUGCUUCUGUGAGCCUGCUUGUGAAAAGGAGUUCCUCCCUCAUGGGAAAUACAGAUGAGAUUCUAAUUGUUUUGGUGGUUUUGAUGCAGAGUCUUCUGAAAUUGCAGGUGCAGAACAGUGGUGGUUGUAAAUACUGUGCUAUUAUUACUGUUAGUAGCAUGUUUUCUGCGUUACUAACAGUCCAUGCAAACCUUGCGUGAUGCUCUGCUGAAGUGAUGCCCCCAGACAGAGAUCCUUGCUCCUGCAGUGCUGCAAUAUACCGUGCUUUCCACUGCUUUACACCGUGCUUGCUCUGCAUUGGAAUUUUCGAGAAAGAACAUUUUCCAUUCUUGAAUUAAAUAAUUCAUCUUCCAUGGGAAAUGUCUGUUUUCAGUGAAUUAGUAGCGGAACAUCAGACUAGAACCAGGUCUUCUAAUUAAUUGGCUUCAGAAGUGUGGCUCUUAUCACUAACUACAUUUUUUGAACAGCUUGUGAACUGCAGGGAAGUUGAACAACACUUGAGCAAGUAAGUUAUUCCACAUUUAAGAGGCUUUUACAACUGGUCCCUUGUAGUGCCACAUCGUGAAACAGGACUUCCCAGCAUGGUAUGGAGCUGGUGUGCCCACGUGCAGGAACCUCCUUGGCUGCUGGUACUGCGUGUCGUUAUUGCAAGUGUGAGCUCUGCAUCUGAGUGAUGAUGGUGGUAAACACCAAGCGACCCUCAUUCUGACAGCCUUCAGCAUAAGGAGAGGACCAGCAGUUGUGCUAGGACAUGUUCUGACCUUGACAGGCUUAGAUCUUUCUUCUUAUCUCAAGUGAGGAUGACUUUCAGUUUGAUUUUCUGCUGUGCUGUGCUGCACAACAGUUUCCCACAGCAGUGGUUCCUGAUGGAUGAGGUGUGAGUUGUGCAUACUGCAGCUGGGAUCUGGAGAAAAUAAGCUGCAAAAACAUGGGUUCCAUUCUCUUGAGGCUGUCACAUUGACACAAAGGAUUGAGGAUGACCAGAGCGCUCUGAAACAGGCAUAAAAGCUUGUUAGGCUUGCUGCCUGGUGCUGAAGAAAGGCAGAAUGGGCAUGGUUGUAAUACCAGGAUGAGGGAGAGGGAGGUGAGGCAGUGCAGUGCCAGUGAGAGCAGGAUGUGAGCAAGAGGACUGGAGGAGUCUUGGUUUGGAUGCCAGUCCUCCCAAGUGAGGCUUGCCUACAAAUUUGGUGGCCAGGAGCUGUGAGUUCUUCCUUAAAGCUGGUGCAUUUCACGCAACAGAAACUCCAUUAACUCCUUUAGUGAGAGUUGUUAGCACUAAUCCUGGCUGUUUGAUUGGGUUUAUCAUGGCUAUUGGGAGCAUAAAUGUGUUUACAGAUUUGUUGUGAAAGCAUUUUGGUCUGUUUUUCGCAUAGCAAGUCAGCUUCCAUGCGGUGCGAUUAUGUUCAAGAUGUUCCCUGUAGCACUGGAAUAAUGUCAGAUUACAUUGUGUGUGCAUAUUGUUCUUCAAAGGGAUUUCAGCUGAGGCACAAUACAACGUGUUGGAAGAAGGGGAUCUUGGGCAUGGUACGCUCGAAACAAGAAACUCUGUCGAAUCUUGUCACAGAGCAGUGCUUGUCUCUGGCUGCUGAAAUGUGAAACUUGUCCCCCAUUAGCUUCCUUCCCGCUCCCUCUAACCCUGCCAGCACAAAGUCCAUCCAUCAGCAGGUUUCCCCACUUGUUGUGCAGCCUGCUACUACCUUUUAGUGCUGGAAGUUGGCCACAAACAGCAAGGCGUUUCAGAGGGGAGAGCCUGGGGAGGAAAAAAGGAUGACUUGCAAUCCGUUUGCAAAGUGUCUUAGUUUUUGUUCAGUUUGUCAUUCAGCACAGCUCGGCCUACAAACUUCCCAUGUGUUUGAUGCAGUUUUGCUCCGCAAGGAAUCUUCAGAAGCCAAAGAGUGUGAUCUCUUAAUAAUGUGAUGGGGAGCAGGUACAGCAGGUGGCUGGGACUGGGCUCCUGCGGACGUCUGAGCAUCUGCAUCAACUGCCUGUGCUCCUCCUGGGACAAAGGACUGCACUGUGCCUAUCGUGGAGGGCACUUUUUGGUACUGGAGCCCCAGUUAGACAUCAGGAGUCUGUCACGCAGCAUCGCCCCAGGGAUGAAGUGGCCUCUAAUGCUCACUGUUGAACUGCUGUGGGCUGUUUUUUCACUGAGGUAACAACGCAAUUUCCUGUCUCAUGACAGCUCAGAUAUUAAAGGUCACAUCUGCCUAAUACUUUCAGUCUUAGCUAUGACAAGCUUUCCCAGCUCUUCUAAAGCAGACAAAUGUGGUAUGUUUCCCUUCUGAACCAUAUUCAGAACGCAGAGUUUGUUCUGUAACUCUUUAUUACUAUUGUUGCUACUACUAGUAAGUCUUGUACAGGGAUUACUCAGAACAGCAGCACAACAGUUCUGCCCAAGGAAGGAAAGGUCAGGAUCUUCAGGUGCCAGCACCGCUAGCCUGCAGCCUACUAUUCUGCACCUCAGAAGCAGAUUUUCUUGUUUCAAGUUGUACCAAAGAACCAUUUCCAGGGACAGCUCUUUCCUCCGUCCUAUGGUCUGUCCUUAUGACGUCUCGCUGAGGAUGCUGCAGUCCUUGGCUGAAGCUGACAAUGCAGUUAACAGUGCAGAUGUUUACCAACUAGAAAGCCGUAUGCUGCUGUUCCAGGGACCAGGGGGAUGCACUCCAUGUGGGUGCUCAAAAGAUAAGGGAGCAGGAGAAAGGACGCACACAGAUUGAGGCUAAGUAGGAAAGAAAACCUGUAUGGUGAUUGCUUGCUAGAAAUAAAUGCAAGAGACCUCUGGCAGUUGAGUUCUUGGUGGCUCCAUGCAGAUGCACAGCAGCUGAGAAUCCGUCCCUGGAAACUGUGAGGAGCGCUAUGACUGUGGUCAUGUAUGCAAGCUUCAGGUAAUCUUUAUAAUUGGUUAGUCGAAAAAGUUUGAAGGUUUGUGCAAAUAUAUCCCCAAGACAGCAGGAACCUUUGUGCUCGUGCUUAACCAGGUGAUGUAUCUGCCAGGCUUUCUAGAGCAGCUUGAAGUACUUUUCAGAACAAAAUCACCUGUAACAAGCACUAAACAUACUUUGUGCGCUCUAUGGAAGCCCAGAGCCCAGGCCAUUUUACAGAACUCCAGUUUUUGCUAUGCUUCAACACAGAUAAAAGCCUGACAGCUGAGCCGUUUUAAAGCACCCCAUAAAACCCUUGAGUCAUGCAAAAUCCUAUCACAUUUUUCCCUCUGGUUGAAAAGUUAUGAAUGGUACAAGUGCUAUUAAAUCAUAGAUAAAGAAUGCUGAGUGAUGGGUUAGUAAAAAUAAUUUUUAAAACUCCUUGUUUUCAUCUACAUCUUAUUUCCCUGGGUGUGAAUUCAACAGGUAAGACUGAAAUAUCACAGCUUACCCCCAAAAGGAGUGGCGUGCAGCUGGAUCCCUUGGAGAGUCGCUAUUCCUUUUCUUGGUUUCCUUACUGCUCCAGGCAAAUUAUGAUUUUAAUACUUCUCCUUUAUCGAGCACAGCUAAUUUCCCCUCCCUAUACCAGCUCAACUUCUCUGGCAAGAAUGUUGGGGAUGGCAGACCUGUGCUUUCAUCUGCUCCCAAGCCUCCUGCUGACAAAACUGCACCUCUGUGAUCCCACUCAACCAGCUUUUGGCCCAGCUGCCCAGCCAGGUAGGCAGAGUUGGGGGCAACGUGGUGUCCUCUGUAUGCUUGCAUCCACCAGUGCUGCUCCGCCAGCUGCUGACCCAGUACCAUGAGGAUACCUGUAUCCUUCUGGCUGUUUUUAUUUCUAGAAUAAAGCUACCUGGAACUACUGCUUGGUUCAGGAGCAAACCUCUCUGAAAAGGUUGUGCAUACAUCUUACUUCAAAACUGCUAUGUGACCUUUCCCACUGAUGUCAGGCUUGUGCAGAGGAGAGCAAGCCACAGAGCCCCGUGUCUCGUCUUUUUGUCCCAGCCACCAGGUGCCUUCUGACGGACAUGCAGAGAUCAAAUAAACGAAAUCCCACUUUACUACAGAGAGACCUGUCACCAUGGUGCUGGGCUCAGAGAGCUGCAGAGCAAAAGCUUCACCAAGCCGUAUGGCUGAAUUGUUCCCUUCUUCGUCACCCAUUAAAAAAAUCUAAGUGGAAGAUGAGAAGCUGCCUGCUUUAGGUUCAUGUAUGAAUAAUUAUAGGUACCUGCACCAGCAAGGGACUUUCUGAAAGACAAGUAAAGAGCUGGGCCUCUUCAGGGAAUCUGUGGCAAGCAGGUCAUUCAAAAAUAACUUUUGGAGGCUAUGGGAAGUGGGUGAAAUGAAGUAACAAACAGCUUCUGAAAAAAACAGCCGAUGAAAGGGAGUGUUUCAUCUGAUAUCACAAACUGUUAGUUUUCAUUCUGAUCCUGUUGUUUUCUUCUUUAUAUAGCUCAUAGAGUGCCCUUAAGUUGUCUCCAAAGGAUAUUAAUUUUCCACUGGCAUCAGAAAGGCUGAAGUGAUACUUGCAAUGAGGGUAAAUGACUCCCUUGAGGUUUUGGCACCCACAGCUCUGGCCUAACUGGAAACACAGGCAAUUAAUAAAUCAGAAAAUCAGUGCCUCUCGGCCCUCACUGCUCCAGGGAAUCCAACGGGAGCUUUGUCAGUAGGAGUAGGAGACUAGACCAAGACCACAGAGCGUGCCCCAUAAUGGACUUGCAUGUGGAAAAGCUCGGCUGUCUACAAUGAAUGCCAGCUCUUAAAAGUUCUGAUCAAGGUCUGAAGUAGACUGAAGCAGAAAACACUGAACAAGAACUGGGAUCCACCGCAAACAGGGAGGUGUCUUCAGCCACUAUGGGAGGAAUGCUGCAGCCACAUGGUGAUGCUGAGUGAAGCUCACCAGCAACCAGAAAAUACAACUGGUUCUUGCUAUCAAGGAUGUAAGGCCAUCUCAGAUAGUAAUGUCUAAGGCAUCAAAACUUAUUCCUUGUGAAGCCUGGGUGAUAACUGGUAAUUAAGACUGUAACAGCCACAAGCUGUGAUAUGCUGUCAUCUACACAAAAUCUACCUGAUUCCUGCUCAUCUGGAAGCAAAAACAUCACUAUGAUUGCUGAGAUAGGAAUUGAAAGCCAGCCUGUUUCCCAGGGUCCUCUUAAAGUUUUCAUGCUGGCUGAAAGUAGAUCAUCAGGUCUGUGGCACUUGUCACCAUUACUUUACCUCCUUUUUUUGUGUGUGCGCAGAGAACCGUUUGCAAUGUGAAAUAGUGCUAGACAUUGCCAAAAAAGCCAACCAAACACCCUGCUUAUGCUACUUGGAUGCAAGACAUCUUUAGAAGAUGGACUCCGGGGGACAAACAAAUAAUACCAACAAAAAAGAAAAAGUCCUUGACAGAAUUUAAGCGAUGAGUAAUGACUCUGCUUUCCUCCAUUCCAGCUGCUACACAGGCACAUACAUGAGUCCCUGGCCCUGCAAAUUUGAACAUUUUAACCUUGUCUUGUGUCCUGUGUGCCCCUCCUGUCACCUAAUGUUGUUGCAGUUAGUGCACUCUUAAGUCAGGUCUACCUCUCUCGGUAGCUAGGGCAACUGUAUUUACAGGAAGCAAGAAAAUACACUUAUAAACAGCAGUAUGUGUCUGGGGAUAAUGUCAGCACUUCAACCAGAGUCUUGCUAUUCUCUUGGCGUUGUCAUCGCUGGAUCCUCUGCCCUUCCUUACACGUGGGCUUGAGGAGGUGGUUGUUUUGGCUGGAAUUAGAGAGGCACAGGUGGUAUCACCAGCUGUAAAUUGGAGGAGGCACUUCCUGAUUAUGACCACUGCCUACACAUAAAUCACUGCCAAGAGAGGAGCUGAGAAGCAUAGAAGCCUUCUCCUUACUUGGAAAGAGGGCCUCAAGUGUAGUCAGAAUUCCCCUGUUCUGUGUUUUUUUUCACUUGUAGGUUUCAGGGUCCUUUGUGGGCUCUUGGCUUCCCAAAAUGAUGUGACAUGGAAAACCCUCAGCUGAGUUUGACAUGUGGAUAAACCAAAGCAUCAAGUACCUGCGCAUCUAACACUUGGGCACUCAAAUCCUCAUAAAGACACUGGGAGCUCAUGGGAGCUCAGGAGACGCACAUACAGGAGGCAUUUGAGAGCCAGGACUACAGCAAAGAAUCAGGUAUUUGCUCAACCGCAACGAAAUGUCAUCCCCUUCAAGUGGUGAAUGAGCCCUUGAUCUCUGUGAGGUCAAGAUUUUUGCCUUCUGGCUUUACAUGUUUGUGGUGAGAGACCUGUCCAAAGCUGCAGCCAACGCUAAGUCUCUGGCGAGGAGUUUGGGUGCUGUUUUUGGAAAGCACUGCUGGCCAUCUGUAGUCAGCCUGCACAGACUGCCACAGUCCUGCUCUCCUGUGCUAGCAGACACUGAUGGGUGUAGUUGUGUUUUACUGUCAGGUUAAGAGGUGGUUUUUUUUCCCCAGUUAUUAUCUAGUGUUCAUUUCUCCAGCUAUUCACUUGUACACAGUGAAGACCUCUGCUGCUGGCCCUGACUUGCUUUGUCUGCAGGAAACUUGGGACGUUGAGUCCCCUCAUCAACCAAUUUGCUGGGGUGACCAUUCAGCCCCUUGCUGUCUCAUGGUCUUGCUUUUGGGGUAUUUCUUCCCUUUUAACCCAAAGCGUCUUCAAUGUGGGUCCACUGAAUGUACAGAUGGAGAGCAGGGAGUGAGGGAGAGGUGUUGCAGAAUCAACCCACCAACGUGUGCUGCUCACCCACGCACACGGGGAGAGGGAAAGAUUAAAAGAUUAAAGUUACAAACUGAAAACCGCCCCAGGCUACCGCUGAGAUCUGAGUGACUGCCUGCGAAGCCAAACUCCCACUCUGGAGGUGCCGCGCCACGCUCGCUGUCACUCACUCCGCACUUGCUUUCUCCUGCCAUCCCUUCCUGCCACUGGCUUUGCUAUUUUUACAGGCUGAAAAAUUAAGUAAUCGUCUGGUUUGGCCAUGAAGGAGAGCCCAGAGCAACUCCUGGUUGUCAUUGCGGGGCUCAAGGGCGCAGUCUUGUGCUCCAUCACUGCCCUCCUGUACUUCUAGACCUUAAAGACUCCUCCGUCAGCCUUCUGCUUUGCCUCAUUUGCCUGUAUCACGGCCAGGUUGGGUUUGGAUGUGGCUCAGGACUGGUGUGGGAGGGAAAGCAAUUUGCAGCAGUCAGGAUUUCGGUAAUGAAGUGGGGAAGUUUGUAAGGUCUUCAGUGCUUUCUCGCCCCUACAGAGAUGCGCAAAUCAAGACCUACUCUACCAAGCUUACAAUUAAAUAUGCCCACAGUUUUAUACUCCUUCCUGCCAUUUGUUUAGAUUUUCUCACUUUCUUUUUUUUCCCUUUGUUAGAACUGGACCAAGAUUGCGGCUUUAUGGCUGAAAGGUACAGAACUAAAACUAAGGUCUAGGAGCUCCAAAAGAGUUAUCAGUGCUGUGCUUGUGUUGGUAGGCAUGAUGCAAAAUGAAACAAGGUUAUUUUUAUUUGAUUGUAGCAGUUAAUCUGAGCCAAAAUGAUGAUUUCAUUUAAUUCUGGGAGUAUUGAGCUCUAUAAGUCAUUUUUUUCCAAUUUGUUUUCUGUUAUUGUAGUUGAGUUUAGGGGUACUUUUUGUCAGAAACAGGCUGUUUCAAAGGAAAAAAAAAAGAAAGGUUUGGCUCUGCUAUUUUGAAAAUGUUGAAAUGGUAUAUUUUGACAUCUCAGAAGUUCCUCCUCCUCCCUCUGCUUUUCAGAUGAAGGUAUUCCUCAGACGCAGGCUGAUCUUGUCAGUGUGUUCAGUUCCCUUAGGGUUCCAUAUUUAAUCUGAUCUCCCAGCUAUCAGCUAUGCUGCCCCGCUCUGCCACUGUGUGGAGGUGACAAAGGAGCACCAGGACCUUCUCGCUCCUGCAAAAAAUGGUGCUCAUUGCACAUGAGAUGAUGGGACAGCCUACUCCUAGCUUGGCUUUCCUGCUGAGGACAGUGGGAACCCUGCAGAUCAGAACACGUUCGAGUGAUUCGUACCUGCCCUUAGAUACCAGCAUUUCUUCUGGCGUGACUGGUUUCUCUCAUCUGCUGCCAAUGGUCUUGUCAGGGCAAACGUGCUGAGCUGAUGGGAUGCCCUGGUAGGGGCAGCUGUGAGUGGAGCUUUACAACCAUGUUGCCAGAAUUCUUAAGAAAUUGGAUGCUGGCCUAUAAAACAGGAAUGCAACUACUGAUGUUAAGGAGUCAGUUUCUCUUUCUGCCCCAAGGAGAAACUGACUGUAUGAAGACGUACAAGAACUUGGCUUUAUAAACAUAAAUUUACUUGCAGUUAAUGGAAAUGGCUUCAGUCUGCCUUCCUGCUUGUGCCAGCCACAGCCCUUGGCACGGUGCAGGCAGCUCACACGUGCAUCAUGAUCAGCACCCUGCUGGGAGAGAGCUUCACCAUCUGAGUGCUCACAGCCCCUCCAGCAGCUCACCCAGCCCUUCAUCUGCAGGAGCUCCGACUGCUUGGGCUUGUGCCUCAGAGGGGGUCAGCAGCAAGCUCCAUGCUUCCCAAGGGAUGCACAGUUCUUGGUAAGCAUCUGGCCGUAACAGGCACAGCUAAAAUACCACAUUGGGCACAAUUCAAUGCAGUCAUUUCCACAUUCGUUCCCGUUCUGAUGACGACUCAAUGAGCUCAAAGUCUUUGCAAAGUUUAUGCACCACAUGCUUGCACAGGUCUUGGUCUGUGAUGAAUCUGUAGCUUCCAACAAAUUACAGUUGGUGUGCUAUUUUAUUUACAUAGGAUUCAUCUAAUUCAAAUGACUAGAUGAAAUCCUUUCAUCUUCAGGGCACAGGAGGUCAGAGUACGGUGAUUUUAUACGGCUGCUCCGGGCCAUAAAAUCUGUUCAUUUGACAAUCAAUAGAAAGAUAUCACUUGCAAUGUUGAUGAGGUAAUUUCCUCCUCCAGUCAGCUCUGACCCUGUCUUCCUGGUUCACACUCUCCCAGCAAGGUGAAAACUCCUGAAGUUCUGCUCUGCUCCAUCCUGCCCCCGCUGACGCCCGCACACCCUUCCAUUUCUUAGUUCCCACCCCAGCUUUCUUCUGCCUCCAUUGCCCAUGAUCUCAGCUGUCAUAUAUUAAAAUUCCUUGUACUUUGAAGCCACUCUCUGAUUUACAUGCUCCAAGCAUGCAAGUUCUCUUCCUGAACUCUUAUUCUAACCAUGCACUCAAUAAGGUGGUGCCAAAAAAAAAACACAUCCUGCUCUAUAUUUGUUCUCUGCUGCAUUGCACAACUUCAUAUAUGUAGUGUACAGGAGACAACAGACCUUCUGGGGCAUAGUCUGUGACAAGUCACCUGCCCAGCAAGCCCACUGUGCUGGAUGCUAUGAAUAUUUAUUGUGCUUAAGAACGAUCCUUGCCUUUCAUCUGGCACUCCAUCACCAGAUCAGCAACGGCUUCAAUGAGGAAGUUGAGUCAAUCCUGAUUUCCAGAUGGAAACGUGGAGAAGGCGAAGUAACCUGCGUGGUGUCAGUGUGCUGGCACAGCAGAGCCAGCAACUGUGUGCAGCCACCUCUGGGCCUGGCCUUGCACUCCAGCCACAACACCCUGCCCAACAAUAUAUCAAAAAAGAAGUGCUUGUGCAAUGCAUUUUUGCCUUCUUCGUUAAGAGUAAACAAUUUGAAGGUUUUCCUCCCAGGCAUUCAUGGCAUCCUUGAGAAAUGUGUUUCAACAUGCACUUUCCCUAAUGCUGUGUGUGUCUUAGGACCCAGCCUGCAGCUGUGACCUGCUAGAAGGAAACAGCCUGUGGUGAGUUGGGGUGGCAGUGCCAGCCCUGUGCUCUGCUCUGCAGCUCUUAUGGUGGCAGUUGGAGCUGGAGGGACCAACCAAGGAGCUGUGCUGCGUGGAGCUCUUCGGGGAGCUGUACCAGCUGCUGUGUUGGCAGCCUUGUAAAUUGCCUCUGGAUCUGCCUUGCCGUCUUGUUUCCUUCUAUGUAAUUGCUUGCU